AUUGAACGCUGGCGGCAUGCCUUACACAUGCAAGUCGAACGGUAACAGGUCUUCGGAUGCUGACGAGUGGCGGACGGGUGAGUAAUACAUCGGAACGUGCCUAGUAGUGGGGGGUAACUACUCGAAAGAGUGGCUAAUACCGCAUGAGAUCUACGGAUGAAAGCAGGGGAUCGCAAGACCUUGUGCUACUAGAGCGGCCGAUGGCAGAUUAGGUAGUUGGUGGGAUAAAAGCUUACCAAGCCGACGAUCUGUAGCUGGUCUGAGAGGACGAUCAGCCACACUGGGACUGGGACACGGCCCAGACUCCUACGGGAGGCAGCAGUGGGGAAUUUUGGACAAUGGGCGCAAGCCUGAUCCAGCAAUGCCGCGUGCAGGAUGAAGGCCUUCGGGUUGUAAACUGCUUUUGUACGGAACGAAAAGCCCCGGGUUAAUACCCUGGGGUCAUGACGGUACCGUAAGAAUAAGCACCGGCUAACUACGUGCCAGCCGCCGCAGUAA
rnacentral:rRNA from 1 species